AAAAGACUUAGUCCUAACCUUACCGUUGGCUCCCGCUAGAUAUAUACAUGCAAGUAUCCGCAUUCCAGUGUAAAUGCCCUAAACUCCUUACCAAGGUUAACGGAGCGGGUAUCAGGCACACCACUCACCGUAGCCCAAGACACCUUGCUUAGCCACACCCCCACGGGUACUCAGCAGUAAUUAACAUUAAGCAAUAAGUGCAAACUUGACUUAGUCAUAGCGGCCUGGGGCCGGUAAAUCUUGUGCCAGCCACCGCGGUCAUACAAGAGGCCCAAGUCAACCGUACACGGCGUAAAGCGUGGCACUACAGUAUCGUCCACAACUAGGGUCAAAAUGCAGCUGAGCUGUCAUAUGCCCAAGGUGCCCCUAAGACCGUCAUCAAGAUGACCCUAGCCCUUACGACUGACCUUGCCCACGAAAGCUGAGACACAAACUGGGAUUAGAUACCCCACUAUGCUCAGCCCUAAAUCUUGAUGUCCUUACUUACCAGAACAUCCGCCUGAGAACUACGAGCACAAACGCUUAAAACUCUAAGGACUUGGCGGUGCCCUAAACCCACCUAGAGGAGCCUGUUCUGUAAUCGAUAACCCACGAUGCACCCAACCACCCCUUGCCGAAGCAGCCUACAUACCGCCGUCGCCAGCUCACCUCUUAUGAAAGAGCCACAGUGAGCGCAAUAGUCUCAAUCGCACUAACAAGACAGGUCAAGGUAUAGCCAAUGGGCUGGAAGAAAUGGGCUACAUUUUCUAAGCUAGAAAAUAUACGGACAGGGGCAUGAAACUGCCCCUAGAAGGCGGAUUUAGCAGUAAAGCGGGACAAAAAUGCCCCCUUUAAACUGGCCCUAGGGUACGUACAUACCGCCCGUCACCCUCCUCACAAGCUACCAUCCACCAAUACCUAAAACACCUAUCAGCUGAAGAUGAGGCAAGUCGUAACAAGGUAAGUGUACCGGAAGGUGCACUUAGCACACC
rnacentral:rRNA from 1 species